CUGGCGGCGUGCCUAACACAUGCAAGUCGAGCGAGGAGAUCCUUCGGGAUGAUCCUAGCGGCGGACGGGUGAGUAACACGUGGGCAACCUGCCUCAUAGAGAGGAAUAGCCUUCCGAAAGGGAGAUUAAUACCUCAUAACAUUGCAGUUUCGCAUGGAACAGCAAUUAAAGGAGCAAUCCGCUAUGAGAUGGGCCCGCGGCGCAUUAGCUAGUUGGUGAGGUAACGGCUCACCAAGGCGACGAUGCGUAGCCGACCUGAGAGGGUGAUCGGCCACAUUGGGACUGAGACACGGCCCAGACUCCUACGGGAGGCAGCAGUGGGGAAUAUUGCACAAUGGGGGAAACCCUGAUGCCAGCAACGCCGCGUGAGUGAUGACGGCCUUCGGGUUGUAAAGCUCUGUCUUCAGGGACGAUAAUGACGGUACCUGAGGAGGAAGCCACGGCUAACUACGUGCCAGCCGCCGC
rnacentral:rRNA from 1 species